UGCCCUACGGGAGGCAGCAGUGGGGAAUAUUGCACAAUGGGCGCAAGCCUGAUGCAGCCAUGCCGCGUGUAUGAAGAAGGCCUUCGGGUUGUAAAGUACUUUCAGCGGGGAGGAAGGUGUUGAGGUUAAUAACCUCAGCAAUUGACGUUACCCGCAGAAGAAGCACCGGCUAACUCCGUGCCAGCAGCCGCGGUAAUACGGAGGGUGCAAGCGUUAAUCGGAAUUACUGGGCGUAAAGCGCACGCAGGCGGUCUGUCAAGUCAGAUGUGAAAUCCCCGGGCUCAACCUGGGAACUGCAUUUGAAACUGGCAGGCUUGAGUCUUGUAGAGGGGGGUAGAAUUCCAGGUGUAGCGGUGAAAUGCGUAGAGAUCUGGAGGAAUACCGGUGGCGAAGGCGGCCCCCUGGACAAAGACUGACGCUCAGGUGCGAAAGCGUGGGGAGCAAACAGGAUUAGAUACCCUAGUAGUCGGA
rnacentral:rRNA from 1 species